GACGAACGCUGGCGGCGUGCUUAACACAUGCAAGUCGAACGGAAAGGCCUGCUUUCCCUUGUGGAUUGCGGGUACUCGAGUGGCGAACGGGUGAGUAACACGUGAGUGAUCUGCCCCCAACUUGGGUAUAAGCCUGGGAAACUGGGUCUAAUUCCCGAUAGGACUGCAGGGUGGUGCCUGUGGUGGAAAACGAUUUUCUAGUGGUUGGGGAUGAGCUCGCGGCCUAUCAGCUUGUUGGUGGGGUAAUGGCCUACCAAGGCGGCGACGGGUAGCCGGCCUGAGAGGGUGAACGGCCACAUUGGGACUGAGAUACGGCCCAGACUCCUACGGGAGGCAGCAGUGGGGAAUAUUGCACAAUGGGCGGAAGCCUGAUGCAGCGACGCCGCGUGGGGGAUGACGGCCUUCGGGUUGUAAACUCCUUUCGACCGCGAGGAAGCCACCUGGUUGGAAGGGUGGUGACGGUAGUGGUAGAAGAAGCACCGGCUAACUACGUG
rnacentral:rRNA from 1 species